AUCGCUUCGUGGCCUUUGGCUAAAAUCGAGAGUUGUAUUUGUUCUUAUCAAUUUAAUAUCUGAUACGUCCUCUAUCCAAGGACAAUAUAUGAAAUGGAUUUGGGGGACUAGGAAAUGGAAUAGCAGCUUGCUUCGUGCAUUCCAUGAAUCCACCUGGUAUUGUAGUACCUCCAAGAUGGUGCACCUAUU